CCCUUAGAUGUUCUGGGCCGCACGCAUGCUACACUGAGUGGAUCAGCGGGUCAGGUUGCGCGAAAGCGUUUCCUAAUCUUUAAAUCCGCUCGUGAUGGGGAUUGACGGUUGCAAUUUUCUGUCAUGAACGAGGAAUACCUUGUAAGCGCGGGUCAUCAUCCCGCGCUGAAUACGUCCCUGCCCUUUGUACACACCGCCCGUCGCUCCUACCGGUUGAGUGGUCCGGUGAGGCUUUGGGAUCUGAGCGGAAAGAGCGUUUCGCUGUUUCUGCUCGGAAAACUCAGUCGAACCUUAUCAUUUAGAGGAAGGAGAAGUCGUAACA
rnacentral:rRNA from 1 species